rnacentral:lncRNA from 1 species
AAAAGCCCCUGAACCUGCCCCUGGGGGCAAAAUAAGAUCCUGAAAGUCACCCCUGGGGGCAAAACCAACCCCAGAAUUUAUUCCUGGGGGCAAAAAGAGACCCUAAAUAUGCCCCUAGGGGCAAAAGAGGACCCUAAAUCUACCCCAAGGGGGCAAAAAAUUCCCCCGAACCUGCCCCUAGGGGCAAAAGAAGACCCUGAAAGUCACCCCUGGGGGCAAAAUCAACCCCAAAAUUUUCCCCUAGGGGCAAAAGGAGACCAUGAAGCUCUUCAUAGGGCAAAUGAAGACCCCAGAUUUGUCCCUAAGGGCAAAAGACCCCAAAUCUACCCCAAGGGGGCAAAAAAAUCCCCUGAACCUGCUUCUGGGGGCAAAAGAAGACCCUGAAAGU